rnacentral:rRNA from 1 species
GUAGGUAGCAAGCGUUGUCCGGAAUUAUUGGGCGUAAAGCGCGCGCAGGCGGUUCUUUAAGUCUGAUGUGAAAGCCCACGGCUCAACCGUGGAGGGUCAUUGGAAACUGGAGAACUUGAGUACAGAAGAGGAAAGCGGAAUUCCACGUGUAGCGGUGAAAUGCGUAGAGAUGUGGAGGAACACCAGUGGCGAAGGCGGCUUUCUGGUCUGUAACUGACGCUGAGGCGCGAAAGCGUGGGGAGCAAACAGGGAUUAGAUACCCUGGUAGUCCGCGCCGUAAACGAUGAGUGCUAAGUGUUAGGGGGUUUCCGCCCCCUUAGUGCUGCAGCUAACGCAUUAAGCACUCCGCCUGGGGAGUACGGCCGCAAGGCUG